CCGCGCUGGAGCUCCCCUACUCGGCUCCCCUGCGCGUCGCCGGAGCUGCCUCGCCCCACACCAAACCCGCGUUGCUUCCCUCUCCUUGUUCCCUUGCUCGUUCCCCAUGGUGAACCAUGGGAAGGAGAAGGCUCGAUUUUUGUUAUCGAUUUGCUCUCCGACGGCGGCGGCCUUCCCCGAGCUUGGCGAGCUAGAGCUGUCCCUUCCCGUCGUCGAUCUGCUCUCCGCGAUGCUGCCUGCCUCCCCGGACCAUCCCCUCUCGCUCAGCCGCGACUCCCUCCCUGGAGCAGCCGCUCCCGCCCAACCCAAAGCCGCCGGCCGGAGCUACGCCGCAGCACGCUCCCUCCCCCCUCUUCUUGGGGACCGGAUUGUGGCCGAGGAGGAGCUUGCCCUUGUCGCCCAGCAGCUCCCGCUCCAACGGGCUCGUCCACAAGUCCGGCAGCACCAGCCACUCUUCCAUCUUCCGGCGGCCCAAAUCCAACAUUUUAUACUGAAUCAUGGAUUAUAUUGUGGCUCUGCAAGUCUAGCCCAUCGACGACGACGGCUCCUCCUCAUGCUCAUCGAACUCGUGCACAAGUGCUCUUGAAGUCUGCAUUGGGAAGCAGAUACAGUUUUUCUUGGUGGGCGUGGUUUUGGAACAGCCAUGUCUUCUCUAAUUUUGACAGUGCUUGAGUUUAGAGUAUGGUUAUACUUUUGCUUAGGCAGGGUAAUUGCUUUUCUUACUGGUGCUCCUGAUUAUGAAGAUGGUCAACUAGACACUAAGCGAUAUGGUGAGCAAUAUGCUAGCAAAGGGGAAGAUGUUGACCUCAUGUUGCUCCCUGAACAGAUACCUUCCUAUAGAGAUCUGGUAAGCUUGUGCUUCUUUUGCAGUAAUUUUUUUUCUAUCCAUUAGUGAAAUUUUGAAACAGGCCACUGUGGUGCUGUUGCUGUUCAAGCAGGAGUAUGUGUACACAUAUUUAUAGGCGAAUGUUAUGCUGAGAUUGACUUACAGUUAACUGCUAUCCUUAGAUUGACUGAACUUCAGUACAUUACUUCUGUUCUGACUUGAAGAUGUCCUCGAAUGCUAAAUUGCUCUGCAGACUUUGAACCCCUUUCAUUUUCUUUCAUGUAAAGUUUUUUUGUUUUUUUAAAUGGCAGUGGAUGUUGAGUAAUCUAUGCUAGCAAUGUGAUGUUAGAGAAAGGCGUAUUUCUAGACCUGCUUGUAGAUUACUCCACACAAGGGACUCUUGAUUUUUUACUAAAGCUAGAUUGCAAUUGCAGUAGAAGACCAUAUUAUCUACUGAUGAUAUGGGAUUAGCAAAGGCCUUGCUUGCCUCAUUAGUUGCUGUAGUUGUGAAGCAAAAAUUUCCGUCCACUAACCCAAAUUAAUUCAAAUAACUAAAAAUAAUCCAAAUCAAUUCCAAUAAUUCAAAUAAAUCCAAAUAACCCAAAUUAAUUCAAAUAACCCAGAUAAUUCAAUUAAUCCAAAUAACCCAGAUAAUUCCAAUAAAUUCCAACAAGGAGUUGAUAUACAAGGAUUAGACAAGGCAUACACAAGGACAUGCCAUAAGGGCAUCUUUGUCCCCUCUUGACACAAGAUUACACAAGACAUACACAAGGAGCACCUGACUACAUGACAUAAGGGCCUCUUUGUCCCCUCUUGACUACAUUCUUUUCCUUUCUCUGGCCACUUCUUCCCUUCCCUUCCCUUUACUUUUCUUUCUUUUCCCUUCUCUAGCUAAUUCUUUCCUUUCAUUUUCUUUUCCUAUUGCAAUUUCCAUUUCUUCUAUAAUGGCCCUAGUAUCAACAACUACCCGACUGUCACAAUAUACACUGGUUAUUUCCAUUCCAGCAUUCUGAACGCGAUCCUUGUGCAAGUGGGGCAACUUAUAUUGAUUUCCUCCUUUGUCUUUCAUAACUUCAAACAUAACUGCUUCUAAUGUGAUAAAGCUUCUGUGCAACUUGUCGGGAUCAUAGUUCUCGAAUUCCUCAUCCACACCCUGUACCAGUUCCUGGAUGUUUGUAGGUGACCUGCAGUUGGUUAGAGACUGGAGAGAGUUAUGGAAGUAGAGGUCCAAACAAUUUAACUCAGGGCUAUUUGGGGGCUGUUGUAGCAAUCGGAUGUCAAGAUCAGUUUGUUCCACAGCUUCUCGAAAAGCUACAUCAUUGGGAAGGACAUGAGGCUUUGCGUUAUCCUGUUGGAUGAGAAUAUUGUUGCUCCCUCAUCAUCGUCAGGCCACUUAUCCUGAAUUGCCGGGAUAACCUUAUUGAUUAGAUAAUCUCUGCACACAGGCCUGGUUACUUUCACUAAUGUCAACACUUUUGUUCCCUUUGUUCUGUUCUGACUUGUCCGCUUCGCCUCAGUCUCUUCGACGAAUGCCCAAAUGCCGAUCUUCCAUCGAAUGUUAGCUCCCCCUCAUUGUUAUAUCGAGGCCUGGCAACAGCUGUUAGGAACAUUACCUUCCCAAUGCUGUGAGUGUUUGACAUGGUGCGCUUCGGUUUAGGUUCUCCUGGAAGUACAUAGUAACUAUUCUUCACUCUCGUCAUGUCAAACCACUUUUCAUCAAUGUGAACCAUAUUCGUCAUUGGUUUCAACAUAGCCCGAGAAGUUGAGAUCGAAUUGUCAUCGACUAUUGACAUACAAAAUUUUAAUCUCGCAAGCUUGUUCUCUAGCUUGAUAUGAGGCUUCACGGUGCUUGUGAUGCGGUUGAGCUCAUUCAAAUGGAACCUCUUAUGUAGGGUUGAUCGGGCCACACCUAGAGACCGUGCCAGAUAUCGAAUUGUUCUUCUUUUAUUCAGUGGGAUUGUUGAGGUCCUCUCUAGAUCCAGCUCCUUUCUCUUUCGGCCAGAUCUUCCUGGCUUCUUGCUUGAGACAUCUACUUCUUUGCCAUCGGCAAUUUGCUUUUUAGCGUAUUCCCAGAUUCUUUCAACAGAUCGUACACUUAUGUCCAACAGGUUUGAGACUAGCAGCUUGUCGUCUGGUUGAACAGACCCAUCUCUGAGCUCGAUUACCAGCAAGGCGAAGUAAACACCAUGCCUCUCCUUAUCUGACAAUUCUCUUCUCUUCUCUUGAAGUAUCCAAUUCAUAACUUCAUCCUCUUCCUCUUGAGCUUCAUCCUCUUUCCCUUCAUCUUCUUGAGGCAUCCAAUUCAUAUCUUCAUCGUGUUCCUCUUGACAUCAAGUUCAAAUCCAUAGCUACAUUCUUUGCCACUUGAGGUUCCUCCUCUUGAGGCAUCAAAUUCAAAUUAAUACCUUCAUCGUCUUCCUCUUGAGGCAUCAUGUUCAAAUCCAUACUCCUGCUAUCAAUGACAAAAGAUGAGUACAUCAUGGUACCAUAACAAGGAUAUACACACAAAAAAUGAGUAGAAUGACAGGAGCCUUGCAAGCAUUACAAAAAUGUGAACUACUGACUAAGAAAUGUUAUGACUAAGAAAUGAAGCUGCUCCUUUGUAACACCAUUUCAUUUCUUAUGAAACUUCCAACUCCUGUCACUUCAGAAAGAAUUCCAAUCCAUCAUGACCAAUUUUGAAGUUUAUGUCAUUAGUUUAUCAACUUCAUUUUUAUGACUAAUUUUGCUUAACUUUAUGUAAUGUUGUUAAGUGAUCUGCUGCUGUUUGUGGUACAACUCCUGUUAAUUUCAGAACAUUGUGACCUUACUGCCAUUGUGAACAGGGCAAGACCCAUCUCAAGGGCCUCUCCAAGGUACACUAGUGUCAAUAAUAGGCUUACUCUGCUCUAACAAAUGAGCCUCUUUUCAAAUUACAUAGAGGAUUGCAGAAAAGUUAUACUCCUCUAUCAAUUCAGUUUUAGUUAAAGUGAAGUUCCUUGUUCUUUAGGUUUAUUCUUAUCAGAAACAAAUUCAACUAACCAAAUUAGUGGUUUUCUAUCAUUUUGGUAUUGCCUAGGUGACUGGGUAUAUAUAUGCAUUCUAUGCAGUAGGCAUUGUAUGCUCUUCUCAACUUAUUACAGUUGGAUGAUGGCUUGGAGUUCUCCUUCACUGAUAAGAGGCAUUUUGCAAAAAUACGAUUGCUUGACAACCCAAAAGCUAUCCCUCCAAUUUCUGAACUUGGACCAGAUGCCCUACGCGAACCAAUGCAGCUUGAUGAUUUUGUACAAUCUUUUGGUAGAAAGAUGCGCCAAUAAAAUCCCUUUUGCUUGAUCAGAGCACAAGGAGCACAAGCAGCAGAUUAUCAACCCCGCGUGUGCAAAAGGAGCAGAGAAGCAACUAUGCUUUCAAAUGUUUCUACAAAUUGUAGACAUCUCAAGACUUGCUUAAAUUAAUUCAAAUGUUCUACAGAUAUUCACUGGGUGCAGAGUAGCAGCAACAACAGCACAGGCAGGGUCAAGGAGCAGCAGCACGGGCAGCUCAAUGGAGCAGCAGCAGCACGGACAGGGUCAGUGGAGCAGCAGCAGUACGGGCAUGGUCAGUGGAGCAGCAGCAGCAUGGGCAGAGACCACUGGCGACAGGGGAGAAGCAGCCGCACGGGUGCGUGGGCAGGGGAGAAGGAGCAGCACAGGUGCGCGGGCGUGGGAGAUCGACGAGGUCGCGCUAGAGAUCGAGGAUCAAGUGCGCGAGCUCCUAGUCCACCGGAUCAUGGAGUCAGGCUCCGGCGACCCCGGUAGGGGAUCACAGCGGCGCACACGCCGGAGCUCGAGGAGGAUGCGCGGGAGCACGAGGAGGACGUGCGCAGGCUUGAGGAGGAUGGGGGGAGCUCGAGGAGGGACGCGCGCGGCAGGAGAUUCCGGCGAAGCCCACAGGCAGCGGGAGGGGACCGCGGCAGCGCAGGUCUGGGCUGCGGCGGCGGAGGAGGUAAUUGGCGACGACGGCGAGAGCAGGUACUUGGCGAAGGUGAGAGCAGGUACUUGGCUACGGCGGAGGAGCUCAGGUGGGCUCGCUGGCCCCUAGCGAAUCACACAGCUGGGCGGCGCCGGCCCCUGGCGAUGCGCAGGCGACGGGCGGAGGAAGAAGACGGGGUGGAGGGAAUUGUUUGAAAUGCUUUUGAAACCACAAGGGUUUUUUUGCAAAAUUACUAGUGACUACGCCCGCGACAUGUUUUUCGGGACGGAGGGGAUAUUUUUUUAGCACUACUGUACGCAUAA